rnacentral:misc_RNA from 1 species
UACGGAGGGUGCAAGCGUUGUCCGGAUUUAUUGGGUUUAAAGGGUGCGUAGGCGGGAGAUUAAGUCAGUGGUGAAAGCCCACAGCUCAGCUGUGGAACUGCCAUUGAUACUGGUUUUCUUGAGUAUAGAUGAGGCAGGCGGAAUUUACGAUGUAGCGGUGAAAUGCAUAGAUAUCGUAAAGAACACCUAUAGCGAAGGCGGCUUGCUAAACUAUAUCGGACGCUGAGGCACGAAAGCAUGGGGGGCGAACAGA